rnacentral:rRNA from 1 species
AGUGAAUAGAUACCCAGGUAGUCCACGCCCUAAACUAUGUCAACUAGGUGUUGGGUGGGUAAAACCAUUUAGUACCGUAGCUAAACGCGUGAAAGUUGACCGCCUGGGGAGUACGGCCGCAAGGUUAAAACUCAAAGGAAUUGACGGGGACCCGCACAAGCGGUGGAUGAUGUGGAUUAAUUCGAUGCAACGCGAAAAACCUUACCUACCCUUGACAUGCCAGGAACUUGCCAGAGAUGGCUUGGUGCCCGAAAGGGAGCCUGGACACAGGUGCUGCAUGGCUGUCGUCAGCUCGUGUCGUGAGAUGUUGGGUUAAGUCCCGCAACGAGCGCAACCCUUGUCGUUAAUUGCCAUCAUUUGGUUGGGCACUUUAACGAGACUGCCGGUGACAAACCGGAGGAAGGUGGGGAUGACGUCAAGUCCUCAUGGCCCUUAUGGGUAGGGCUUCACACGUCAUACAAUGGUCGGUACAGAGGGUUGCCAAGCCGCGAGGCGGAGCCAAUCCCAGAAAGCCGAUCGUAGUCCGGAUUGCAGGCUGCAACUCGCCU